rnacentral:rRNA from 1 species
UGGCGGCGUGGAUAAGACAUGCAAGUCGAACGGGAUUUUACCUGUAGCAAUACAGGUAGGGUCUAGUGGCGUAAGGGUGCGUAACACGUGGGUAAUCUGCCGAGAAGUGGGGGAUAGCUCGUCGAAAGGCGAAUUAAUACCGCAUAUGGUUAGUGGAGGAUCUUCACGACACCAAAGCCGGGGUAACCUGGCGCUUCUUGAUGAACCCGCGGCCUAUCAGCUAGUUGGUGGGGUAACGGCUCACCAAGGCUAUGACGGGUAGCUGGUCUGAGAGGACGACCAGUCACACUGGAACUGAGACACGGUCCAGACACCUACGGGUGGCAGCAGUCGAGAAUUUUUCUCAAUGGGGGAAACCCUGAAGGAGCGACGCCGCGUGGAGGAUGAAGGUCUUCGGAUCGUAAACUCCUGUCAUUUGGGAACAAUUGUUAGCGAUUAACUGUCGUUAGCUUGAUAGUACCAGAAGAGGAAGAGACGGCUAACUCUGUGCCAGCAGCCGCGGUAAUACAGAGGUCUCAAGCGUUGUUCGGAUUCAUUGGGCGUAAAGGGUGCGUAGGUGGCGAGGUAAGUCAGGUGUGAAAUCUCGGGGCUCAACCUCGAAACUGCACUUGAUACUGCCUUGCUUGAGUACUGGAGAGGAGAUUGGAAUUUACGGUGUAGCAGUGAAAUGCGUAGAUAUCGUAAGGAAGACCAGUGGCGAAGGCGAAUCUCUGGACAGUUACUGACACUGAGGCACGAAGGCCAGGGGAGCAAACGGGAUUAGAUACCCCGGUAGUCCUGGCAGUAAACGGUGCGCGUUUGGUGUGGGAGGAUCCGACCCCUUCCGUGCCGGAGCUAACGCGUUAAACGCGCCGCCUGGGGNGUACNGGUCGCAAGAUUAAAACUCAAAGAAAUUGANGGGGGCCCGCACAAGCGGNGG